UGCCAGUAGUCAUAUGCUUGUUUCAAAGAUUAAGCCAUGCAUGUCUCAGUAUAAGCUUUUAUACGGCGAAACUGCGAAUGGCUCAUUAAAACAGUUAUAGUUUAUUUGGUAAUCGAAAUUACAUGGAUAACCGUGGUAUCUUCUAGAGCUAAUACAUGCAGGUUAGCCCGACUUUUCGGAAGGGCUGUAUUUAUUAGAUAACAGACCAAUAUUCCUCGUGUCUAUUGUGGUGACUCAUAGUAACUGAUCGGAUCGCAUGGCCUUGUGCCGCGAUAAACCAUUCAAGUUUCUGACCCAUCAGCUUUCGAUGGUAGUGUAUUGGACUACCAUGGCUUUCACGGGUAACGGAGGAUUAGGGUUCGAUUCCGGAGAGG
rnacentral:rRNA from 1 species